UGCUUAGGAUUUUCUAAUUAUGAUUUCUGCAAUUUUGUGAUUUGCUCCUACCUUGUACGCAGGAUACUGGCAUCAAAUUUGACAGCGAUUUUGGUGAAGAUAUCAAAUCCCUUCAAUAAAGACCUACAUCCACCAUGUUGUAUAAGUGGAAAUUUCAAAGAUCUUUGGUCGAAGUGCUACCUGAAUGCUUUCAAAGACCCUUGGUCAAAAACCUACCUGAAGGCUUGUUGAGAACACCAUCUUGCUGAAGGACUAAAGAUUGACAAAUAAACAAAGAUGUUUGACGACGCUAUAUGUGAAUUGCGGAAAGAGGAUCAAGGUGCUCAUGGUGGCUAUUUUCAUUAGUCAUGAAAGAUUUUGUUGUGCGAGCAAAUCAUACGAGUUAUGUGUUGUACAAGUCAACAUCUUAGUUUUGUAGAUACUUGAGUGUAGCUUGGUUAUUGACUUAGUAUUUCAUGUGAAAUAUUGUACAAGUACAAAUGUUGAUAGUUUCAAUAAAAAUGAUGGGUAAUAUUUGUCAAUUA